rnacentral:rRNA from 11 species
UCCCUGGUUAAUUCUGCCAGUAGUCAUAUACUUGUCUCAAAGAUUAAGCCAUGCAUGUCUCAGUGCAUGCCGAAUUAAAAUGAAACCGCUCAUUUAAUCAGUUAUGGUUCAUUAGGUUGUACCCACAUUUACUUAGAUAACUGUAGUAAUUCUAGAGCUAAUACAUGCAAAAUAGAGUCCCGACCAAUGAUGGAAGAGACGCUUUUAUUAGAUCAAAAUCAAUCGAUGGCGAACGGUUAUCCAUCCAUCCACCGUUUAUUUUGGUAACUGAAUAACUGAUCGCACGAUUUUAGCACCAGCGAUGCAUCUUUCAGAUAUUUGCUUUAUCAACUGUCGAUGGUAAGUUCUGCUUAUCAUUGUUACGGGUAACGAGGAAUCAGGAUUUGAUUCCGGAGAGAGAAAAUCUGAAAAACGGCUACCACAUCCAAGGAAGGCAGCAGGCGCGCAAAUUAGUCACUUCCGGCACGGGGAGGUAGUGACGAAAAAUAACAAUACGGAACUCAUCCGAGGACCCGUAAUCGGAAUGAGUGUACUUUAAAUCCUUUAACGAGGAUCCAUUGGAGGACAAGUCUGGUGCUAGCAGCCACGGUAAUUCCAAUUGCAUAUAUUAAAGUUAUUGCGGUUAAAAAGCUCGUAGUUGAAUCUGUAUCGCACACUGUCAGUUCACCCCUUGUGUUUAACUGGUGAUGUGGGACGUCCUACUGGUGAGCUUAGCCUCGCGAGGGGACGGCCCAACUAAUAUCCCAUUGCAGUGCUCUUUACUGAAUGUCGAAUCGGGAGAUACGUUUACUUUGAACAAAUUAGAGUAACGCAGGUUAUUCUGAAUACUGCAUGGAAUAGGACCUCAGUUCUAUUUUAUUGGUUUUUGGAACUCUGAAGUAAUGAAUUAAUAGAGAUAGAUGGAAGCAUUCGUAUUGCGAUGUUAGAGGAAAACGUGAAAUUCUUGGAUCAUCGCAAGACAGAAGCGAAAGCAUUUGCCAAAAAUGUUUUCAUUAAUCAAGAACGAAAGUUAGAGGUUCGAAGGCGAUCAGAUACCGUCCUAAUUCUAAUCAUAAAUGACGUGCUAGCGAUCCGCCGAAGUUCCUUCGAUGACUUGGCGGGCAGCUUCCUGUGAACCAAAGCUUUUGGAUUCUGGGGAAAGUAUGGUUGCUGAAACUUAAAGGAAUUGACGGAAGGGCACCAGGAGUGGAGGCUUAAUUUGACUCAAUACGGGAAACCUCACCAGGCCAAGGAUCUAAGACCGGAAGGAUUGACAGAUUGCUCUUUCUUGAUUUGGUGGAUGGUGGUGCGUUCUUUGUUGGUGGAGCGAUUUGUCUGAUUAAUUCCAAUAACGAACGAGAUCUUAGCCUGCUAAAGUAGGCGACCUUAUGGUAUGGCGAAGACCUCCGGCUUCGGUCGGUGGGUUUUUACUACCAACAUACAAACAAAUCUUCUUAGAGGGACAGGCAGCUUCUAGCCGCACGAGAUUGAGCAAUAAGGUCUGUGAUGCCUUUAGAUGUUCUGGAGUGUACGCAUGCUACACUGAAGGAAUCAGCGUGUGCCCUAGCCAAAAGACCCGGAUAACCUCCUUCGUGCUAGGGAUUGAGACUUGUUAAUUAUUCCCCAUAAACGAGGAAUUCCCAGUAAGCGCGAAUCAUAAGCUCGCAUUAAUUACGUCCCUUCCCUUUGUACACACCGCCUGUCGCUACUAUCGAUUAAAUGAUUUAGUGAGGUUUUCGGAUUGGUGCGCGGCAAUGCGUUGGCAUUGCCGAUAUUGCCGAGAAGAUGAUCAAACUUGAUUAUUUAGAGGAAAUAAAAAUCGUAACAAGGUUUCUAUAAGUGAACCUGCGGAAGAAUCAUUA